rnacentral:tRNA from 1 species
GCGCUCGUAGCUCAGCUGGAUAGAGCGCCGGACUACGAAUCCGUAGGUCGCAGGUUCGAAUCCUGCCGAGCGCGCCA